AUUGACCGCUGGCGGCAUGCCUAACACAUGCAAGUCGAACUAGUGGCGGACGGGUGAGUAAUUUCUGGGAACCUUCCUGAUGGAGGGGGAUAACUACUGGAAACGGUAGCUAAUACCGCAUACCAUCGGAUGUGCCCAUAUGGGAUUAGCUAGUAGGUGGGGUAAAGGCUCACCUAGGCGACGAUCCGUAGCUGGUCUAAGAGGAUGACCUGGCACCCUGGGCGUGAGACACGGGCCGGACUCAUACGGGAGGGCGCGGUGGGUAAGGUUGCACAAUGGGCGGAAGCCUGAUGCAGCCAUGCCGGGUGUAUGAAGAAGGCCUUGGGGGUGUAGAGUUCUUUCAGCUGGGGGGGGUUGGCCGCAGAAGAAGCACCGGCUAACUCCGUGCGAGCAGCCGCGGUAAUAC
rnacentral:rRNA from 1 species